rnacentral:rRNA from 1 species
CCUACGGGUGACAGCAGUAGGGAAUCUUUCACAAUGGGCGAAAGCCUGAUGGAGCAACGCCGCGUGCAGGAUGAAGGCCUUCGGGUUGUAAACUGCUUUUAUAAGCGAGAAAUAUGAUGGUAACUUAUGAAUAAGGAUCGGCUAACUACGUGCCAGCAGCCGCGGUCAUACGUAGGAUCCGAGCAUUAUCCGGAGGGACUGGGUGUAAAGAGUUGCGUAGGUGGCAUAAUAAGUAGCUAGUGAAAUCUGGUGGCUCAACCAUUCAGACUAUUAGCUAAACUGUUAAGCUCGAGACCGUUAGGGGUAACUGGAAUUUCUAGUGUAGGGGUGAAAUCCGUAGAUAUUAGAAGGAACACCAAUAGCGUAGGCAGGUUGCUGGGACGGUUCUGACACUAAGGCACGAAAGCGUAGGGAGCAAACGGGAUUAGAUACCCUAGUAGUC